GAUGAAGAACGCAGCGAAAUGCGAUACGUAAUGUGAAUUGCAGAAUUCAGUGAAUCAUCGAAUCUUUGAACGCAUAUUGCGCUCUCUGGUAUUCCGGAGAGCAUGCUUGUUUGAGUAUCAGUAAACACCUCAACUUCCAUAUCUUUUUUGAAAUGGGAGUUGGACUUGAGUGAUCCCAACGCUUUUCCUCACCGAAAAGUGGCGGGUUACUUGAAAUGCAGGUGCAGCUGGACUUUUCUCUGAGCUAUAAGCAUAUCUAUUUAGUCUGCCUAAAAAACAGAUUAUUACCUUUGCUGCAGCUAACAUAAAGGAGAUUAGUUCUUGUGCUGACUGAUGCAGGAUUCACAAAGACGGCUUCGGCCGACUUUGUAAACUCGAUCUCAAAUCAAGUAAGACUACCCGCUGAACUUAAGCAUAUCAAUAAGCGGAGUA
rnacentral:misc_RNA from 1 species